GCAAAGCAUAGCUAGUCCUUCCCUAUCCAGACUACAAAACUUUCCUUUUGUAUACUUCUAAUGCCAUAGAUUUUUUCUUGUCUCCUUAAUAGCCGUACUACUUAUCCUUUCAACUCCAAGUAUGGCAGCAGCUCUUCUCGGUACAUAUUUAUUCAUCUUUGCUUCCAUCUCUGCAACCUUUGCUUAUGAUCCUGACACGCUUCAAGAUCUAUGCGUGGCCGAUAAAUCUUCAGGUGUUAAAGUGAAUGGGUUUCCGUGCAAGGCUGAGGCAAAUAUUUCAGAAGCUGAUUUCUUCUUUGACGGUAUAGCUAAGCCAGGUGUUGUCAACAGUUCAGUGGGAUCUCUUGUUACACUCGCCAAUGUUGAGAAAAUUCCGGGCUUGAACACUCUAGGGGUGUCGCUGGCCCGCAUUGACUAUGCUCCUGAUGGUCUGAACCCACCGCACACCCACCCACGCGCAACUGAAGUUAUCUUUGUGCUCGAAGGGGAAUUGGACGUAGGAAUCCUCACCACCGCCAACAAGCUGAUCUCGAAAACUGUAAAGAAAGGAGAAAUCUUUGUAUUCCCAAGAAGUCUGGUUCACUUCCAGAAGAACAAUGGCGACAAGGCAGCCUCAGUGAUUUCAGCAUUCAAUAGUCAAUUGCCUGGAACCCAAUCCAUUGCCAUGACAUUGUUUGCAGCAACUCCAGCAGUGCCAGACAAUGUCUUGACUAAAGCUUUCCAAGUCGGUACCAAGGAAAUUGAGAAGAUCAAAUCCAAGCUUGCCCCCAAGAAGUCCUGAUUUUGCUUCUUUAAACCAAUAAAUUUUCCCAUCCAGUAGUAUUGAAUUAAUGUAAGCCGAUGCAGGUAAUUAUCUCCUAUAUGUUUCUUUAUCAACUCAAUAAUGGAAUUGAAUAUAUACGGAUAUUAAUGUGUAAUCAUCUUAUAAUAUAUAAUUUAAUAUAAGAACAAAUU
rnacentral:misc_RNA from 1 species